rnacentral:tRNA from 1 species
CGCUCGACGGGCGGCGGCGCAUCGCGCCGACAUCGGAAAACGGCGAGCUCAGUGACUGAGCGCGUGCGCCGAUUCGAGCCCGACGUCGAGCGCCC